GACGAACGCUGGCGGCGUGCUUAACACAUGCAAGUCGAACGGAAAGGCCCUGCUUUUGUGGGGUGCUCGAGUGGCGAACGGGUGAGUAACACGCGAGUAACCUGCCCUUGACUUUGGGAUAACUUCAGGAAAAUGGGGCUAAUACCGGAUAGGAGCUCCUGCUGCAUGGUGGGGGUUGGAAAGUUUCGGCGGUUGGGGAUGGACUCGCGGCUUAUCAGCUUGUUGGUGGGGUAGUGGCUUACCAAGGCUUUGACGGGUAGCCGGCCUGAGAGGGUGACCGGCCACAUUGGGACUGAGAUACGGCCCAGACUCCUACGGGAGGCAGCAGUGGGGAAUAUUGCGCAGUGAGCGGAAGCCUGAGGCAGCAACCCCGCGUGCGGGAUGACGGCCUUCGGGUUGUAAACCGCUUUCGCCUUUGACGAAGCGGGAGUGACGGUAAUGGGUAAAGAAGCACCGGCUAACUACGUG
rnacentral:rRNA from 1 species